rnacentral:lncRNA from 1 species
GAAAAAUAAAAUGUCCUAUCCUGUCUUAAAAAACUGAAUUUGUAUAAUAUUGGGUUUGCCUAAAGAGUAAAGCACAUAUACUAAUUUUCUUUUUUGUUGUUAUUUUUUCUUUUUUUUUUUUUAUUUUGAGACAGAAUCUCGCUCUGGAGUGCAGUGGCAUGAUCCCAGGUCACUGCAACCUCUACCUCCCAGGUUCAAGCAAUUCUCUUGUCUCAGCUUCCCAAGUAGCUGGGACCAGAGGCUCCUGCCACCAUGCCCAGUUAAUGUUUGUAUUUUUAGUAGAGACAAUGUUUCCCCAUGUUGGCCAGGCUGGUCUCGAACUCCUGACCUCAAGUGAUCUGCCCGCCUCGGCCUCCCAAAGUGCUGGGAUUACAGGCAUGAGCCACUGCGCCCAGCCAAUUUUUUUAUAUUUUUAGUAUAGGUGGGGUUUCACCAUGUUGUCCAGGCUGGUCUUGAACUCCUGGCUUCAAGUGAUCCACCUGCCUCGGCCUCCCACAGUGCUGGGAUUACAGGCGUGAGUCACUGUGCCCAGCCACAUAUACUAAUUUUCUUUGGAGUAAAGGCACAAGUACAUUCAUUGUACAAGUACAGAAUCCAGGAAAAUCAUCAGAAGAGCUUUGACGUAAAGAGUAUUUGUUACCCAUCAGUAGUUGGUAGUGUGGCUGAUCAUCUCCUUGAAAUGUGCAAACGUGUGUGGUAAAAGUAAAGAAUCGGAGGUAGGGAACUUAUACCAGGCUCACAACUCCACCUCCUGUUCAGAGUAAGUGCUGGGUUGCUGACCAAAUUAGGUCUUCUUGGACCUCCGGAGCAGCCCUUCUGCAUUUCCAGGAAGGAGGUGGACAAGUGGCUAUUUUGGUCUGUCUGUCCAUCUGGCUUGUUUGUGGCUGGCUAGUUCACCACCCAGCUCAUGGUCAGGCUGGAGGAUUGGGUACCUUUGCUCCGACCAGUCAGACAUCCCACUAUGACACAGGCCACUCACUGCAGACUAGAGGGAUUCAACAGGAAAGUCCCACGGGGUAAGCAAAUACCACCACUACCCAAAGUAAAAUUCCAGGCUAGGGGUCAGUGGUGUCCUCAUCAUAGGAAAAAGGGAAAGUACAUCAGAAUUUGACAGAGGAACAAGUACCAAACUGCUGUCCCCAAAUAAAGAACUUACAUCAACAAGGAAUAUAAAAAUGUUAUUUAGGACUUCUGUUCUCAGAUGUUUAAUACAAAGGAGAGAUUGUUGUGCCAGGGAACAAAGUGAUCCAAUAUCCACAAAGCCAGAAUUCUCCUACUGCACAUUUUGUUUCCAAAACACUAAGGAAUACAGCAAGAUUUCAAGUUGGAGUAAAGAAGCUACUUCUGGAAACAAGAGAGGAGAUAACUGAAGACUUUCACAGAGGGGCUGAAAUCCUUCCCGGAAAACUGUGCUCAUCAGGGAACCUCAGCCUAGGGGGCAGCGAGGGUGGACGUUCAUUACUUUUACUCUUCACUGGAAGCAGUCACAUCAUUGCAUCAUCACUCUCUCCUUUACUGGACUGAGCAUUUCCAGAGGGUAAUGCAAUAGGACUGAGGUGAUGGGGCUGGGAAACCAGGUCCCCUGGAUCUAAUCUUGGCUCCACUGUACAAUGGGAUCAAUGUCAAGUUACUCCUCUUCAACUCAGUAUCCUCACCCAUACAAUCGGAAUAAUGGGGCCUACCUUCUGGACUGCUGCAAAUUUUUUUUUUAGACGGAGUUUCACUCUCAUCACCCAGGCUGGAGUGCAAUAGUGCAAUCUCAGCUUACUGCAACCUCUGCUUCCCGGGUUUAAGCGAAUCUCAUUUUUGUAUUUUUAGCAGAGACCGGGUUUCACCAUGUUGGCCAGGCUGGUCACGAACGUCUGACCUCAGGUGAUCCACCUGCCUUGGCCUCCCAAUGUGCUGGGAUUACAGGCGUGAGCCACCACGCCCAGCCUGCUGCGAAUCUUAAAUGGAAUAGUAUAGUAAAACGCUCAGCAUGCAGAUGGCCCCGCCUUUGAAUCCGCGGACUGCACCUUACCCGUCUUCACAUCCUCCUUCAUAUUUGCUCAUAGUAGGGCCUCAUAUUAAAAUUUUUUAAAGAACAACAAAAUGUUUUAUUUCCUCUAGUUUAUUUUUUUCCUGAUAACAUGCUCCCUGCCUGUGCCCUAAACCCUCUCCCUGGCACUGGACUGGAUGCUUCAGAUCAGUUGUGAUUAACAUUUUACACACCCCCUGUAAAACUGGACACUAGCACUCAAGCAUUAUUUUAAUUAACGGCCAGAGAGUGGCAAAAUUAAAUAUGAGAUGACCUACCUCAAUGCUCCACUGUGUCUCCUACCCCUGGAAUUUCAAGGGGCCUUUGUUAAAAGUGAGUGUACAAAGGAAACACAAACAGGCAAAGGAGAGGAGAAGGGAGCAGCAGAGACAGAUAAAAGCCAGGAAAUCACAGCCCGAUUCCCUGCACUGUCUCCAAAUUACUGGUGUCUUUGAACAGCUUGCAUGAUAUUAAAUAUUUUUAAGAAGUUACAAUCCAUGACAAUAAAAACUGUAGUAAAUAUUAACAGAAACUGACAUCGUAGAAAUUUUUAAGGGGAUCAUCCACUAAAGAAAUACAUGAUUUGGAAUAAUUCCUUCCUGUGUAAUCAAUGGGAACGAAGAGAUAGCCAAGAGAUUUGUGGCUCUUCCAGUCAAUAUGACACCCCAAACCUCUUACUUCUCCUAACUUCUUUGGUCAAAGAUAUUUACAGGGCACCCAUGUGGGGAGUACGCUGUCUCAAGUCCUCUCGGGAUGAGGCCUCUGUGGCAAGGGGCUGCAGGGGGCCCAAAGGAAAGAACACGGACUCUCACCGGUGACCCAUGGAAAGAAACCAAGUGCCAAGAUCUGGAGAGGCGCCAGGGUCCUCAAGGGACUGGGAGAACAGCUGCGUGGCAAGUGGAGAAGCACCUGUGGCACUCCAGGUGGCUCCAGCCAGAACUCCAGGCCUCUCUGUCGCCAAUCAAAAUAAACAGUGAAGCAAUCAAAGUGAGCACUCGAGUCCCAUCAGCAGAGCACCACGCUAAGGUCUUGCUGGCAGCAGAGUUUGGGAAGGGGAAGGGCCACAAUGGCAAGGGGAAAGCAAAAGAAAGAGAAGAAAGGGCCCUUGUUCUUGUGCAAUUAUUAUUAAACUUGGAGAAAAUAACACAAUAAAAACAGCUAUCAGUAAUUUAAUACAGGACGAUUUCCUAUAUUGUGGUAUGUGAUCUUCAUAGUCACCUGUAACCCUGGGAUAUAGAUAUUACUAACCCAUUAAACAUUUCAUCCAAGAUUAAAGAAAUAGAGAUGAAACCAGGGCAGUUAGGUCAGUCUGACUCCACAGUUGGUUUUCUCAGCGAUUACACUCUAUCACUUCUUUCUUUGAAACAACCUCACACACCCAUGCAUGCACAUAGAAGAGGAUUUUAUAAUUUAGGCGUGGGGAAGGUCAGUCUUAACUAUGACUCAAACCCCAGAGGCUAUAAAAGAAAAAAAACUGAUAAAUCUGAUUUCAUGAAAAUAAAAAUUUUCUGCAUGGGGAAAAAACACCAUCAACAAAUGACAAACCAGGGACCUAUCUGGAACAUAGAUCACAGACAAAGGAUAUAUUUCUUUAAUAUAUAGGAAAUGCCUAUAAAUCAAUAUGAAAAGAGCCAACGAAUACUAAAUCAGCUAAUAAAGAAAAUCAAGAUAGUUCAUAAACACAUUAAAAGAUGCAUAACGACUCAUAACAAGAAAAAAGCUGGUUAAAAAUACUAGAAGGGUGAACAUCAAAACAUUUUAUUAUAUAGGCAAGGGUGAGGCUAAGAAGGAAGGGGCAAUCUCAUAAACUACUAAUGAGAAAAUAAAUGAGUACAUCCGUUAUGAGGGACAAUCUGGCACUAUCUAUCAAAAUUAUAAAUGCACCUGCCCUUUGGCCGCAAAUUCCAAUUCCAGGAUUUUAUCCUGCAGAUCAACUCGUAUGUGUGCAAAAUGAUGUCUGUAGGAAGCUAAUCUCUGCGGCACUGAUUGUACUAGAAAAUGUUUGAGAACAACCUAAAUAUCCAAAAAGGAGACUGAUUAAAUAAACUAUGGUAUAUCCCUACAAUGGGCUAUUAUGUAGACACAGAAGAGAAGAGGAAGCUCUUAAUAUAUUGAUAUGGAACAAGCCCCAAGGUAUACUGUUAAUCAAACAAAGCAAAUUAAAAAUCUCAAGCAGAAUAGGCUAUCAUAAAUAUAAAAGAAAAUCACAUAGUGUCUACAUAUAUAUUUGUAAAUAUCCCUGGAAAGAUACACAGGGCAUGGGUGACAGGAGCUGCUUUUGGGGAGAAGUGGGAGGUAAAGUGAGGAGGGAGGCUCCUGUCACUGUAUACACUUUGUAUUUUUUGAAUUUUAUAAUAUGUGCUUCUAUUGUCUAUUCAAAAAAUAAAUUGUAUAUAUAAUUUAUUAUAUAUUAA